rnacentral:rRNA from 1 species
GACGAACCGAGCAAACGUUAUUCGGAAUUACUGGGCGUAAAGCGCACGUAGGCGGUUUCUUAAGUCGGGGGUGAAAUCCUGGAGCUCAACUCCAGAACUGCCUUCGAUACUGGGAAACUUGAGUCCGGGAGAGGUGAGUGGAACUGCGAGUGUAGAGGUGAAAUUCGUAGAUAUUCGCAAGAACACCAGUGGCGAAGGCGGCUCACUGGCCCGGUACUGACGCUGAGGUGCGAAAGCGUGGGGAGCAAACAGG